rnacentral:rRNA from 1 species
AGAGUUUGAUCCUGGCUCAGGAUGAACGCUAGCGGCAGGCUUAACACAUGCAAGUCGCGGGGCAGCGCGGGUAGCAAUACCUGGCGGCGACCGGCGGAAGGGUGCGUAACGCGUGAGCAACAUGCCCGUAUCAGGGGGAUAACCGAUGGAAACGUCGCCUAAUACCCCAUAACAACGAGGGCCGCAUGACCCAUGUUUGAAAGUUACGGCGGAUACGGAUUGGCUCGCGUGACAUUAGCUGGUUGGCGGGGUAACGGCCCACCAAGGCUACGAUGUCUAGGGGUUCUGAGAGGAAGGUCCCCCACACUGGAACUGAGACACGGUCCAGACUCCUACGGGAGGCAGCAGUGAGGAAUAUUGGUCAAUGGGCGCAAGCCUGAACCAGCCAUGCCGCGUGCAGGAAUGAGGCCCUAUGGGUCGUAAACUGCUUUUGCUGCGGAGCAAUAAGUGCCACGUGUGACACGAUGAGAGUACGCAGCGAAUAAGCAUCGGCUAACUCCGUGCCAGCAGCCGCGGUAAUACGGAGGAUGCGAGCGUUAUCCGGAUUUAUUGGGUUUAAAGGGUGCGUAGGCUGUUCGUCAAGUCAGUGGUGAAAUGCCGGGGCUCAACCCCGGAGCUGCCAUUGAUACUGUCGGGCUUGAAUCCGGUCAAGGCCGGCGGAAUGUGGCGUGUAGCGGUGAAAUGCAUAGAUAUGCCACAGAACACCGAUAGCGAAGGCAGCUGGCCGGGCCUGCAUUGACGCUGAGGCACGAAAGCGUGGGGAUCGAACAGGAUUAGAUACCCUGGUAGUCCACGCUGUAAACGAUGGACACUCUUUGUCGGCCAAAAAAAGUCGGCGGGCCAACAAAAAUGAUAAGUGUCCCACCUGGGGAGUACGGUCGCAAGGCUGAAACUCAAAGGAAUUGACGGGGGCCCGCACAAGCGGAGGAACAUGUGGUUUAAUUCGAUGAUACGCGAGGAACCUUACCCGGGCAUGAACUGCAGGAGAAGUAUACAGAGAUGUUGACGUCCUUCGGGACUCCUGUGGAGGUGCUGCAUGGUUGUCGUCAGCUCGUGCCGUGAGGUGUCGGCUUAAGUGCCAUAACGAGCGCAACCCCUCUCGUCAGUUGCCAUCAGGUAGUGCUGGGCACUCUGGCGACACUGCCACCGUAAGGUGCGAGGAAGGUGGGGAUGACGUCAAAUCAGCACGGCCCUUACGUCCGGGGCUACACACGUGUUACAAUGGGUGGUACAGAGAGUAGGGUGCCGGCAACGUCGCCCCAAUCAACAAAGCCAUCCUCAGUUCGGAUUGGGGUCUGCAACCCGACCCCAUGAAGCUGGAUUCGCUAGUAAUCGCGCAUCAGCCAUGGCGCGGUGAAUACGUUCCCGGGCCUUGUACUCACCGCCCGUCA